CCUACUGUCAUGGUGAAGCCCAUCUGACAGAUGUUGAGGCAGGCAGCUGGUCAACUGCCAGGCACAGCAGGACUACUUACUGCAUUUCAGAGAUGAAAAAACUGAUGCACAGAGAGAUUAAGAGACAUGCCCAUGAUCCCACAGCUAAUAGGUGGCAGAGACAAAAUUCAAACCCAGGCAGCCUGGCUCCAGUGUUAAUGCUAAUCUGCCUUCCAUCAACGGACCGCAACCCUCAGUGUCGCGC